rnacentral:rRNA from 1 species
UGGGUAACCUGCCUCAAAGAGGGGAAUAGCCUCCCGAAAGGGAGAUUAAUACCGCAUAAUAUGUUUUAGUCGCAUGACUUAAACAUCAAAGGAUUUUCUUUUAGAAAUUCCACUUUGAGAUGGACCCGCGGCGCAUUAGCUAGUUGGUGAGGUAACGGCUCACCAAGGCAACGAUGCGUAGCCGACCUGAGAGGGCGAUCGGCCACAUUGGAACUGAGACACGGUCCAGCUCCGUAGGAG